UCCCCUGUGGCUAGGUUGGUAGAGCAUGGUGUGUGCAACGCCAGGGUUGUGGGUUCGAUUCCCACAGGGGGCC
rfam:Salmo salar isolate Sally breed double haploid chromosome ssa24, whole genome shotgun sequence.